CUACCAAAACAACUUAGACUGUUUAUGCAAGUAAACAAACACAAAAAUGCUAGAUCGAUGUGUAGUUUUUGGUUGUUCUAACGUAGCCAGUUCGGAGAAACGCAUUUCACUUCAUCGCAUACCAUUUUUUAACGACGAAAGAAGCGAAAGCUAACCGUAGGAGAAAGCGAUGGGUCAACUUUGUGAAAGCUACUCGCGAUCAGUCAGUCCCCACAACGAAUUCCACAGUUUGCUCGGAACACUUCACACACGAUUCGUUUUCUCGUCAAUUCGGCUCGCUUUCUGAAUCAGAAAGUAAUUUUGUACCUCGACUCAUUCGAGAUGAAUUCGGAAUCGUUGCUUACCCGAGCAUUUAUCCUCGAAGAGAUGACAAUGAACUUACAACAAGAGAUCGCAGAAUGAUGAAAAGAAAGUGGAUGUCUGAUUAUACAAGAGAGGUUGAAUCAGAAAAUAUUCCCAGUACAAGUAGCGAACCUCAAGAGCAAAUAAAAGAAACAACUUGUGAUGAGCCUGUAUUAGAAAAGGUCAAGAGAAGAUUUGCCAACGUAAUAGGAUCAGCCAUGUUUAAUAACCUCAAUUUCUACAAUACUACCAAAUGAGUAUGACAACAACAGCAGCAAUGAAGAAUCAUCAACUAGUAGCAAAGUGGUUGAUCUUGAUAGUUGUCCUGCUGAGGAGGUUUUGGACCCAAAUGAUCUUAGUGGUGACUCAGACUCAGAAAGUGAUCUUGGUGCUGAACAAAGUUAUGAGACUGAGACAGAAGAGAUAAUCACAUCUAGUGACAUGGAUGUCGACUCUGAAUCAGAGCAGCCAAGAUUAUUUAAAAGGGAACAACUUUUGGAUGAGAACUGUAAUUUAUCAAUCACCAUGGCAAUGUUAAAAUAGUGGUGAUUGUUAAAUAAAUCAAAGUUAAACAGCUUAUUUAAUCAGUCACUACCUUGCAUUUCAUAAAUUGUGUUUUUUUCUUUUGUAGAGUGCUCAACAAAGACACCAACCUAAGAACAGAGAAAAAAUUCAUUAUGUUCUUCACCCAACUGUUUGCACUUUUUAAAUUCUGCCCAAUUUGCAAAUCAGAUGAUGUUCUUGUUGAGAUAUUGCAAAAUGGUUCAAUGUCAAAAGUGAAAGUUACUUGUUCCAAUCAAAAAUGUGGAGCAGACACAACAUGAAAUAGUUAACCAGUCAUGAUUGAGACUUCCAUUCCUGCUAGAAAUUAGCUAUUGUCAUUUGGUAUUUUGACUGCUGGAACUCUGCCACAAAGGUGAUCAGUGUUCUACAGCACAUGGGAUUGGCCUGCAUUUCAUUGAGUAUAUACUUCGUGAAAAACUGUAUUCUGCAUUGGUAAUCUACUGGAAAAAAUACCAAGACAGUUUGAUAGAGAAAGUGAUGGCAUGUAAACAGCCAAUUGCAAUUGCUGGGGAUGGAAGACAUGAUUCCAUGGGACAUUGUUUUAAAUAUUUUGCAUAUACAGCAUUCUGUUGCACAGUACCCCAAAUCAUUAGUUUUUCUUUUGUGCAGAAGUGACCAAAGUCCUGACCAAACUUGCAAAAUGUGCUGGAUGUGAGUCUUUAUCAAGUUCAAUAAGACCUUGUUCCAACCAUUUGUACUGGAGUGCUACAUCAACACCCUCUGGUAAAGGAAAUAUGAUUGUGGCUAAGUUUAAAUCUUUCCUUGGUCAUGUCAAAAACCAACACAGUGGAUUUUCAGACCCUUUAUUUGACAAAUGUGCUCAUGAUUCCAACAUAAAACCAUGCAAAUGGCUAAAUGAAGGUAAAAAAUCUAAAACAAUUCUUGUUGCUAUUAAAAAGAAAUAUUCUGUGUGUAAUAAUCUCUUAUUCAUUGCCUUGUCUUUAGAUUCUAUAUCAUACAAUAAGAUAUAUGCAGCUUUAACUAAACCAAGGUUGAUUGCUAGAAUCAUGAGAGCUUCUCCAAUGUCUCAUACAAGUGCAUUGGAGGGAUUUCACUCAGUUCUUAACCAGUUUGCACCCAAAAUGAUCAGCUACCCUUUUCUUGGAAUGUUCUUCAGGUAUUCUAUGAAACAUGUGGAUGAAACACGUCGGGGACCAACGUUGAGUGAACGUUUUUUGUGAACUCGUAGGAACGUAGUGGCGACGUUGGGAUGAACGUUGGGAUGUAACGUAUUUUCAACCUAAACCUGACGUUUAUCAGACGUUCAUACAACGUUUACCUGACGUUUAUCCGACGUUCAUUUAACAUACAAUUACUGAUGCAUUAUUUGUGAAAUCAUAAAACAGCCUUUCUAGUGAUACGAACUAAAGCUUAAUUUCCACAUAAUCAACUUUUAAUUCAUCUAUUUUGCUGUGCGUGUUUUAAUAUGCAUAUUUACAAAAAUGCUAAUUAAGCCGAUUCCAAUAAGUUGCCUUUUCUGACCUGCAAGAAAAUAACAUAUAUGAUUAUUAGAAAAUGGUAGUCUAUAUAUCAUUUUUAUAUGUCUUACCACCUACAACAACAUUGACAUAUUUGUCUGUAAGAGAUGCUAUUUAAAUGGAAAACUGAAUCGUCUGCUGUAUGUAUAUCUUCUUAAUUUAAUUUAUAUAAACAUAUGGGUCAAAGUA